UGCUGUGAGUGUUUCCACCACUCCAAGGAGACAGCAUUUAGAGUUCUUGGAUAAGUCGGCCUUGUGAGGAGCUGGCGAUAAUUUAAUUCCAUCUCCAGGUUUUCUGUAGGCACAUCGAGAACCAUGAGCAGCUUUACUAAGGACGAGUUUGACUGCCACAUCCUUGAUGAAGGCUUUACUGCUAAGGACAUUCUGGACCAACAAAUCAAUGAAGUCUCUUCCUCUGACGAUAAGGAUGCGUUCUAUGUUGCGGACCUCGGAGACGUUCUAAAGAAGCAUCGGAGGUGGCUAAAAGCUCUUCCCCGCGUUACUCCCUUUUAUACACUCAAAUGAAAUGAUAGCAGAGCCAUAGUGAGCACCCUAGCUGCCAUUGGGACAGGAUUUGACUGUGCAAGCAAGACUGAAAUACAGUUGGUACAGGGGCUUGGGGUGCCUCCAGAGAGGAUUAUCUAUGCAAAUCCUUGUAAACAAAUCUCUCAAAUCAAGUAUGCUGCCAGAUGAUGACUUUUGACAGUGAAAUUGAAUUGAUGAAAGUCGCCAGAGCACAUCCAGAGGCAAAGUUGGUUCUGUGGAUUGCCACUGAUGAUUCCAAAGCCGUUUGCCACCUCAGUGUUAAGUUUGGUGCCACACUCAAAACCAGCAGGCUUCUCUUGGAACGGGCAAAAGAGCUAAAUAUUGAUGUCAUUGGUGUCAGCUUCCAUGUGGGCAGUGGAUGUACUGACCCCGAGACCUUCGUGCAGGCAGUGUCAGAUGCCCGCUGUGUGUUUGACAUGGGAACAGAAGUUGGUUUCAGCAUGUAUCUGCUUGAUAUUGGUGGUGGCUUUCCUGGAUCUGAAGAUACAAAGCUUAAAUUUGAAGAGAUCACCAGUGUAAUCAACCCAGCUCUGGACAAGUACUUCCCAUCAGACUCUGGAGUGAGAAUCAUAGCUGAAUACUGCUACCUGCUGGGAGGCCGCCUAGCUAUUCCUGAGACCACACCCUAUCCUGCUGGUGGUUCCAGCCUCCAAGAAUGA